ensembl:lncRNA
UGGACGAAUUCAUUUUUGAUGAGUCUCCACUCCCUCUUCCGAUUCAAGGGUCUCCAAAGACUGCAUCUAUUUUUCCACUGCAGCCGAAACAUGCCUGGUCAGAUAAUGAAGGUCAGAUAAUGAAGUUUGACUCCUCACCUUAGUAGCAGGGGAAUCACUAAUGAGUCCACUGCCCUUCUCAUGCUGAAGAGAGCCAACAAAAUGAAAUCAAGAAACAGAAGCAGAAGGGGUUAUUUGUUCACCAAAAGCAAAAGGAAAAACAAUCUUACAAGGAGAGAACUUACCAGUGGCUCCACACACAAGCAGUUCAUCCCGACACAGACUCUGCAGGCACGGGACGGCCAGGGGGACAGAGACGGUGGAGAUUCAGGAGCAAGAUUUUGGACUGACUCUACUAGUGUCUCUCCACCUCUUAAAAAGCAUACUCGGCCUCGAAGAUACUUGGCUGAAAACACAAAAACAGAAGUGCCAUCACCUACAAGAGUCAAUUCAGCUCCGAUCUGAAAUGAAUGCAUCUCGUUUCGGGACAACCCAGAGCGACACAGCGGAGGCUGGGGUGGAGGAAAGAAGAGAGCCAAAUUGAACAAAAUAACAGACUGAAUCUGCAGACUGAUGCCAGCGAGUAAUUCAUGCCAGUUGCAUACCCACAGAAAACAUAGGCAAACCAUGAGAGAUAAUCUUUUCAAGUGCCAGUGAGAGCAGAUCUGAAUAAGGUUAGUAAAACCCUUCAGAGUCAUAUAAAACCUAUUGGUUUGUUUGAGUUUCUAAUAGACUACAUUGUAUUUAACUGCCCGGGAACACAUUUAGGGGGAAAAUAAAUACUCAUUGAAUAAUCCUUCUCA